AUGCAAGUCGAGCGGGGGAAGGUAGCUUGCUACCGGACCUAGCGGCGGACGGGUGAGUAAUGCUUAGGAAUCUGCCUAUUAGUGGGGGACAACAUCUCGAAAGGGAUGCUAAUACCGCAUACGUCCUACGGGAGAAAGCAGGGGAUCUUCGGACCUUGCGCUAAUAGAUGAGCCUAAGUCGGAUUAGCUAGUUGGUGGGGUAAAGGCCUACCAAGGCGACGAUCUGUAGCGGGUCUGAGAGGAUGAUCCGCCACACUGGGACUGAGACACGGCCCAGACUCCUACGGGAGGCAGCAGUGGGGAAUAUUGGACAAUGGGGGGAACCCUGAUCCAGCCAUGCCGCGUGUGUGAAGAAGGCCUUAUGGUUGUAAAGCACUUUAAGCGAGGAGGAGGCUACUUUAGUUAAUACCUAGAGAUAGUGGACGUUACUCGCAGAAUAAGCACCGGCUAACUCUGUGCCAGCAGCCGCGGUAAUACAGAGGGUGCGAGCGUUAAUCGGAUUUACUGGGCGUAAAGCGUGCGUAGGCGGCUUAUUAAGUCGGAUGUGAAAUCCCCGAGCUUAACUUGGGAAUUGCAUUCGAUACUGGUGAGCUAGAGUAUGGGAGAGGAUGGUAGAAUUCCAGUGUAGCGGUGAAAUGCGUAGAGAUCU
rnacentral:rRNA from 1 species